rnacentral:rRNA from 1 species
GAUGAAUGCUGGCGGCGUGCCUAAUACAUGCAAGUCGAGCGGUAAGGCCCUUCGGGUACACGAGCGGCGGACGGCUGAGUAACGCGUGGGAACAUGCCCCAAAGUGAGGGAUAACGCACCGAAAGGUGUGCUAAUACCGCAUAUGGUCUUCGGAUUAAAGGAUUAUCCGCUUUGGGAGUGGCCCGCGUACGAUUAGAUUGUUGGUGAGGUAACGGCUCACCAAGUCGACGAUCGUUAACUGGUCUGAGAGGAUGAUCAGUCAGACUGGAACUGAGACACGGUCCAGACUCCUACGGGAGGCAGCAGUAAGGAAUCUUCCACAAUGGGCGAAAGCCUGAUGGAGCAACGCCGCGUGCAGGAUGAAGGCCCUCGGGUCGUAAACUGCUUUAUGAGUGAAGAAUAUGACGGUAACUCAUGAAUAAGCACCGGCUAACUACGUGCCAGCAGCCGCGGUAAU